rnacentral:tRNA from 1 species
AGUAAGGUAGUUUAUCCAGAAUGUUGGGUUCAUACCCUAAAGGUAAGAGUUAGUUCUUUCUUGCUA